rnacentral:rRNA from 1 species
UACGAAGGGGGCUAGCGUUGCUCGGAAUCACUGGGCGUAAAGCGCACGUAGGCGGAUCUUUAAGUCAGGGGUGAAAUCCUGGAGCUCAACUCCAGAACUGCCUUUGAUACUGGGGAUCUCGAGUCCGGAAGAGGUGAGUGGAACUCCGAGUGUAGAGGUGAAAUUCGUAGAUAUUCGGAAGAACACCAGUGGCGAAGGCGGCUCACUGGUCCGGUACUGACGCUGAGGUGCGAAAGCGUGGGUAGCAAACAGG